rnacentral:rRNA from 1 species
GGAUUAGAAACCCGGGUAGUCCUAGCCCUAAACGAUGAUUGCUUGGUGUGGCAGGUACCCAAUCCUGCCGUGCCGAAGCUAACGCGAUAAGCAAUCCGCCUGGGGAGUACGGUCGCAAGACUGAAACUCAAAGGAAUUGACGGGGGCCCGCACAAGCGGUGGAGCAUGUGGUUUAAUUCGACGCAACGCGAAGAACCUUACCUGGGCUCGAAAUGUACAGGAAUACGGUAGAAAUAUCGUCGUCCAGCAAUGGACCUGUAUAUAGGUGCUGCAUGGCUGUCGUCAGCUCGUGUCGUGAGAUGUUGGGUUAAGUCCCGCAACGAGCGCAACCCUUAUCUCCAGUUGCUACCAUUUAGUUGAGCACUCUGGCGAAACCGCC